GCGCUGGGUUGCCGCCGCCGCUGCCGCCAUCGUGCCAGCCCCUCAGGUCUCAGCGAGGCGGGGUGACGCUCCAGGAUGGGAGACAAGCCAAUUUGGGAGCAGAUUGGAUCCAGCUUCAUUCAACAUUACUACCAGUUAUUUGAUAAUGACAGAACCCAACUAGGCGCAAUUUAUAUUGAUGCAUCAUGCCUUACAUGGGAAGGACAGCAGUUCCAGGGGAAAGCUGCCAUUGUGGAGAAGUUGUCUAGCCGUCUGUUCCAGAAAAUCCAGCACAGUAUCACGGCACAGGAUCAUCAGCCCACGCCAGAUAGCUGUAUCAUCAGUAUGGUUGUGGGACAGCUCAAGGCUGAUGAAGACCCUAUCAUGGGGUUCCACCAGAUGUUUCUAUUAAAGAACAUCAAUGAUGCUUGGGUUUGCACCAAUGACAUGUUCAGGCUUGCCCUGCACAAUUUUGGCUGA